UGUCUGUGAUGAAUAUAAUAGACAAGCAUAUGGCUGAAUAUAUUGAUGCAAAUCUAAAUUCUGAGAAA